CCUUGUAUUUUAAACGUUCGAAUCAAUUGGUUCUAUAAUUCGAUCCCAACAAUAUUUUCAUUCUAACUCCUGAUGUGUAACGCGAAACAGAUACAGUACAGUUCUGGUGCUAUUUCAUCAUUCUUUUGCAUUUCACAAUAUUCAACAAGAAUCUGUUCCAGGUGUUUGUGUUAUUCUUAAUCUUGUUGGCUGGUCUAGUCUGCUCUAUACAAGCUCAACCAGCACGCAAAGGAAAUUGGACCAGAUUUUGGAAUAACUUAUUGCCAAAUGCCAAAAUGUGGAGACGCUUUUGGGCUAGCCUUGGAUUUUGAAGAUCCUUCCAAAUCUUACGUCCUUUUACUAUAUGAUGGUGAAAUGGAUAAAAUAUAAAAGAGUCAAUAGAAUUUUCGAGGAAAUUCGAACCCAUUUCUAGUGGAAAAUGGAGCUUUGGAUAAUGGUCUUACUAUGUUAUAUCUUCGUUGAAAUUUCAUAUGAAUUCAGAUGUGAUUUUAUAUUUUUAUAUAUCUUCCUUAUCUACAAUAAUUAUAGGUUUAGCUUGAGGAGCAUGUCCAAAUAUAUUUUAUAAGAUUUUCCCUUUUAUGUUAAUAAAGAACAAUACAAGGAAA